GUAUUUUGCUAAAUAUUCUACAAAUGCAGAUAACACUUUCUGGGCUGUUGAACUUUAUUGAUGGCUUGUGGUCAAGUUGUGGAGAUGAGCGAAUCAUAGUGUUCACAACGAAUCACAAGGACAGACUUGAUCCAGCAUUGUUGAGACCUGGACGUAUGGAUGUGCACAUUGAGAUGUCACACUGCACUUUCAGUGGUUUCAGAGUACUAGCAUCUAAUUACCUAAAGAC
rnacentral:misc_RNA from 1 species